UAAAAAGUUACUCAAGCGCACACAAGGGAUGCCUUGACAUAAGAUACCGAUGAAGGACGUGAGGAGCUGCGAAAAGCUCCGGGGAGCUGCUAACUAAGCUAUGAACCGGAGAUGUCCGAAUGGAGAAAUCCGGCUAGGGUCAUGCCUAGUCAUCACGAGUUGAACACAUAGGCUCGAUGAAGGAAACCGGGGGA
rnacentral:rRNA from 1 species